rnacentral:lncRNA from 1 species
UCCAGCCUGUCACUCGCCAGCCUAUCCUUUGUCUUCUUCUCUUAAGAGUUUCACCAGCCUCUCCUUUGUCUUCUUCUCUUAAGAGUUUUGUGUUCUCUUACUGUGGUAACUCUCCAAAGUUACUGUGGUAACUUUGGAGUUACUGUCUCAACCAAAUAUUCUCCAAAUGGUGUCUAAGUCCCUCCUUGACUUAAACCCAAUCUUCCAUAGCCAUAAGAUCACUUCUUGACUUCUUAAGACCCUCCUGAAGCUUGACAUACAAUCUUUGUAAGACUUGCCCUCUCUUUGCACUAGACC